CGCUUUGACCUGAGUUUUAAGUAAUCCAAUCUCACCAGAUCCUGGAAGCUAAGCAAGUCUGGGCCUGGUUAGUACUGGGAUGGGAGACUGCUGAGAAUACCAGAUGCCACAGUGG
rnacentral:rRNA from 1 species